rnacentral:rRNA from 1 species
GAGAGUUUGAUCCUGGCUCAGGACGAACGCUGGCGGCACGCUUAACACAUGCAAGUCGAACGAGAGAAGAGGAGCUUGCUUUUCUGAUCUAGUGGCGGACGGGUGAGUAACACGUGAGCAAUCUGCCUUUCAGAGGGGGAUACCGAUUGGAAACGAUCGUUAAUACCGCAUAACAUAAUUGAACCGCAUGAUUUGAUUAUCAAAGAUUUAUCGCUGAAAGAUGAGCUCGCGUCUGAUUAGCUAGUUGGUAAGGUAACGGCUUACCAAGGCGACGAUCAGUAGCCGGACUGAGAGGUUGAUCGGCCACAUUGGGACUGAGACACGGCCCAGACUCCUACGGGAGGCAGCAGUGGGGAAUAUUGCACAAUGGAGGAAACUCUGAUGCAGCGAUGCCGCGUGAGGGAAGAAGGUUUUAGGAUUGUAAACCUCUGUCUUCAGGGACGAAAAAAGACGGUACCUGAGGAGGAAGCUCCGGCUAACUACGUGCCAGCAGCCGCGGUAAUACGUAGGGAGCGAGCGUUGUCCGGAAUUACUGGGUGUAAAGGGAGCGUAGGCGGGAUCGCAAGUCAGAUGUGAAAACUAUGGGCUUAACCCAUAAACUGCAUUUGAAACUGUGGUUCUUGAGUGAAGUAGAGGUAAGCGGAAUUCCUAGUGUAGCGGUGAAAUGCGCAGAUAUUAGGAGGAACAUCAGUGGCGAAGGCGGCUUACUGGGCUUUAACUGACGCUGAGGCUCGAAAGCGUGGGGAGCAAACAGGAUUAGAUACCCUGGUAGUCCACGCCGUAAACGAUGAUUACUAGGUGUGGGGGGACUGACCCCUUCCGUGCCGCAGCAAACGCAAUAAGUAAUCCACCUGGGGAGUACGACCGCAAGGUUGAAACUCAAAGGAAUUGACGGGGGCCCGCACAAGCAGUGGAGUAUGUGGAUUAAUUCGAAGCAACGCGAAGAACCUUACCAGGUCUUGACAUCGUAUGCAUAGCUCAGAGAUGAGUGAAAUCUCUUCGGAGACAUAUAGACAGGUGGUGCAUGGUUGUCGUCAGCUCGUGUCGUGAGAUGUUGGGUUAAGUCCCGCAACGAGCGCAACCCUUACUGUUAGUUGCUACGCAAGAGCACUCUAGCAGGACUGCCGUUGACAAAACGGAGGAAGGUGGGGAUGACGUCAAAUCAUCAUGCCCCUUAUGACCUGGGCCUCACACGUACUACAAUGGCUGUAAACAGAGGGAUGCAAAGCCGCGAGGUGGAGCGAACCCCUAAAAGCAGUCUUAGUUCGGAUUGUAGGCUGCAACCCGCCUACAUGAAGUCGGAAUUGCUAGUAAUCGCAGAUCAGCAUGCUGCGGUGAAUACGUUCCCGGGCCUUGUACACACCGCCCGUCACGCCAUGGGAGUCGGUAACACCCGAAGCCUGUAGUCUAACCGCAAGGAGGACGCAGUCGAAGGUGGGAUUGAUGACUGGGGUGAAGUCGUAACAAGGUAGCCG